rnacentral:rRNA from 1 species
UACAGAGGUCCCGAGCGUUGUUCGGAUUCACUGGGCGUAAAGGGUGCGUAGGUGGCUGGGAAAGUUUGAUGUGAAAGCUCAGGGCUUAACCCUGAAAUGGCAUUGAAUACUGCCUGGCUGGAGGUUUGGAGGGGGGACUGGAAUUCUUGGUGUAGCAGUGAAAUGCGUAGAUAUCAAGAGGAACACCGGUGGCGAAGGCGGGUCUCUGGGCCGAUACUGACGCUGAGGAGCGAAAGCGUGGGGAGCGAACAGG